UUUUCCUUCUACACCUGGCGAAAGCCUAGUUAGUAAAUUCGCGAAUUAUUCGCAAAUUAUUCUCGAAUUAUUGAAAAUCCGAAUUAAACGGUCCAUUUACGAAUUUUUUCGAAAGAAAGAGAAUUAUUCGCGAAUUUUUGAGCCAGCCGAAUUAUUCGCGAAUUAUUUCCGAAUUAUUAAAAAUAUAAAUAAAAAACUUAUAAUUUUAUUUUUAAAUAUAAAUUAUUUUAUAUUUUAUACCGAAUUCGUUUUUUAAGCCGAAUUUUUCAACGAAUUUAAAAAUUAGAAAAUAAAUUUUAUACGUAUUAUAUCUGUACCAAAUUUUUGCCAAAUCCGAAUU
rnacentral:lncRNA from 1 species